CGGCGAUGAUAUACCUUAUCCGCGCUUCUGAGUUUUCUCGAUGAAGCACAGUUGGUUAAAAUUUGGUUGAAUUUCUUGAUAUGAGCCC
rfam:Glycine soja cultivar W05 scaffold2311_17, whole genome shotgun sequence.